UACGUAGGGGGCGAGCGUUGUCCGGAAUUAUUGGGCGUAAAGAGCGUGUAGGCGGUUCGGUAAGUCUGCCGUGAAAACCUGGGGCUCAACCCUGGGCGUGCGGUGGAUACUGCCGGGCUAGAGGGUGGUAGAGGCGAGUGGAAUUCCCGGUGUAGCGGUGAAAUGCGCAGAUAUCGGGAGGAACACCAGUGGCGAAGGCGGCUCACUGGACUGGUAUUGACGCUGAGGUGCGAAAGCGUGGGGAGCAAACAGG
rnacentral:rRNA from 1 species